rnacentral:rRNA from 1 species
AGGGUUCGAUUCUGGCUCAGAACGAACGCUGGCGGCGUGCUUAACACAUGCAAGUCGAACGGGAGUAUUGAAGAAGCUUGCUUUAGAGAUACUUUAGUGGCGGACGGGUGAGUAACGCGUGAGGAGCUGUCCUAUGCAGGGGGACAACAGCUGGAAACGGCUGCUAAUACCCCAUAAGCCGAGAGGUAAAAGGAUCAAUCCGGCAGAGGAGGUACUCGCGUCCUAUCAGCUAGUAGGUGAGGUAACGGUUCACCUAGGCGAAGACGGGUAGCCGGCCUGAGAGGGCGAACGGCCACACUGGAACUGAGAUACGGUCCAGACUCCUACGGGAGGCAGCAGUGGGGAAUAUUGGGCAAUGGGGGGAAAAACCCCCUGACCCAGCGACGCCGCGUGGGUGAAGAAAUCCUUCGGGAUGUAAAGCCCUGUUGUAUGGGAAGAGCGGAAGACGGUACCAUACGAGGAAGCCCCGGCAAACUACGUGCCAGCCGCGGC